AUUGAACGCUGGCGGCAGGCCUAACACAUGCAAGUCGAGCGAGCGGCGGACGGGUGAGUAAUGUCUGGGAAACUGCCUGAUGGAGGGGGAUAACUCCUGGAAACGGUAGCUAAUACCGCAUACCAUCAGAUGUGCCCAGAUGGGAUUAGCUAGUAGGUGGGGUAAUGGCCCACCUGGGCGACGAUCCCUAGCUGGUCUGAGAGGAUGACCAGCAGCACUGGAACUGGAACGCCGUCCAGAGCCCUAAGGGAGGCAGUAGUGGGGAAUAUUGGACAAUGGGCGCAAGCCUGAUGCAGCCAUGCCGCGUUGAUGAAGAAGGCCUUCGGGUUGUAAAGUACUUUCAGCGAGGAGGCGUUACUCGCAGAAGAAGCACCGGCUAACUCCGUGCCAGCAGCCGCGGUAAUUC
rnacentral:rRNA from 1 species